rnacentral:rRNA from 1 species
CACGUAGGAGCCAAGCGUUAUCCGAAUUCACUGGGCGUAAAGCGCGUGCAGGCGGCUUGGUAAGUUGGAUGUGAAAUCUCCUGGCUCAACUGGGAGAGGCCGUUCAAUACUGUCAAGCUAGAGGUCGGCAGAGGGAAGUGGAAUUCCAGGUGUAGUGGUGAAAUGCGUAGAUAUCUGGAGGAACACCAGUGGCGAAAGCGGCUUUCUGGGCCGCACCUGACGCUCAGACGCGAAAGCUAGGGGAGCAAACGGG